AAGAGAAAGAGGAAAGAAGAGCUUGGAGGAAAAAGAAGAAAACCCAUGGAGGAUCAUCAUCUUCCCCAACAAAAUCUCAUCUUCUUGUCACCAUAUUUAUCUUUAUCUUCAUCUUCAUCUUCAAGGUGAGUUCUAGUUAGAACUUCCAUGGAAUAAAACUAGGGUUUAUGAUUAAAUCAAAUGAUAGUUGGUAAUGAUCCAUGAUAUGUGUUC
rnacentral:lncRNA from 1 species